GACGAACGCUGGCGGCGUGCUUAACACAUGCAAGUCGAACGGAAAGGCCCUGCUUUUGUGGGGUGCUCGAGUGGCGAACGGGUGAGUAACACGUGAGUAACCUGCCCUUGACUUUGGGAUAACUUCAGGAAACUGGGGCUAAUACCGGAUAGGAGCUCCUGCUGCAUGGUGGGGGUUGGAAAGUUUCGGCGGUUGGGGCUGGACUCGCGGCUUAUCAGCUUGUUGGUGGGGUAGUGGCUUACCAAGGCUUUGACGGGUAGCCGGCCUGAGAGGGUGACCGGCCACAUUGGUACUGAGAUACGGCCCAGACUCCUACGGGAGGCAGCAGUGGGGAAUAUUGCACAAUGGGCGGAAGCCUGAUGCAGCAACGCCGCGUGCGGGAUGACGGCCUUCGGGUUGUAAACCGCUUUCGCCUGUGACGAAGCGUGAGUGACGGUAAUGGGUAAAGAAGCACCGGCUAACUACGUG
rnacentral:rRNA from 1 species